UCCUUUCACCUGCUAAGCCAGAUGCCUUAGGUGAUGAAUAUACUGAAGCUUCUGAGGUAUGCCCACCACAGACUAUUUUCCCUUCAACUACUCAACUGUCAUUCUCCCUGUUGUUAAAUUAACAGUUAAACCAUACAAAAACAGAAUUCUACUUCUACCACAGGAAUGGUGAAAAAAUAUAAUUACUUUUAAAAAGUCUUCUUCCCUCUCCACCAACAGGCUCUAUCUUCCUGUUUAGGAAUAACUAGCUUUUUGUUCAGCUAAUAACCAAAGCAUGUAACACCCUCCCUGCUAAAUAGUAAAGAAUUGUUUAAGAUGGUCUUUGGUGUUGUUUUUUUGUUUUAUUGCAAAAAACAAAAACUGUUUAGGAGGUUCUUUACUCCAGUAAUUUAGAACCAGUGUUAGAUCACUUCCAGCUGGAGAAAAUGCACCAGAGGCACUAGUAUUCAAGUGAAGUGAGUCAAAACAACUAAGAGACUAGUUAAGAUGGAUGGACGAUAUAAUAUGUUUUGAGUGAUUUCUGUAGAAUUCUGCGGCUUCUGUGCUACAUCUAUGAAGUUGAAGAACUGGAUAUGAACCAGAACACAGACCAUCCCAAGAAGACAGAAUUUACCUAAAACUAUGAUUAUUUCAUAUCUUUAUCUGUGCUGUUUACCUUUUCCUAGAAAACACUACUCAUAGGAAAAACUUGCUAAGUCAACUCUGACAAAAAUAGCUUAUCAACAUUACUUCCAGCAUUAUGUAAUGGACUCGUCAUCGUAUGCUCUGACAGAUUAUUUUAGAACUGGUUAUACCUAAACAUCCAGAAGAACAUUCUUUGACUCACUAGAUGUUUUGGUUUUAUCUUAAGCUACCUACUACAAACACAACAAUACAUUCACCACUUUUUCACCAUUACUGUCAGCUUUCUCAUUCUGCAAGAACACAAAAAAAAUGGUGCUCUAGACUGUGAAAAAAGAAUUUCUCUAAUACCAUAAGGGUUGAAACAAGAUGUACUCCAUUAAAACGGAACUCUUUAAAUGAAAACAUCCCCUGAUUAAUGAUUAAAAAAAAAAGGCAACUUAAAUUAAAUGCUGGCUGUGUUUUUUUGGUUUUUUGUUAAUGCAUAGUUUUAUACUGAUUUUCAGACUAAAAGGCACCUAAGAUCAGGUAGUACCAGAACCAGUGUAGUGAUACAGCUACAGUAGUUCUCUGCUUACUUGAGAAAACAAGUACUUUUACUGGCAGAGAUAACAUUCAUAACUUAACACCUUUUUUCCCCAGUAUAUGCAUUUCCACACUGCAAUGCAUCAUACACAAACACUAUUCAGGAAGCAAUCAAGUAAUGAUCAACAUGAUUACACCAUCAAAAGAUCAUAGGAAAGCUUUAUUACAACAGAAUGGAUGAAAAAUAAUCAAAGGUAAUAAUACAUGAAAGCUAAGUUUGUUGAAGGUCACUGACACGCACAUGGGCAUCACAGUUCAAUAAUAUUUCUUUCCUUUUAUAUAUGUUAGUCUAUCACAUCUGACAGGUCUUUGAGAACAAAUUUUUCACAGAAGAUCCAGCUGCUGGCAGGAUGAGCACAACUAUUGUGUGGAAAAUUAUCACUGUUCAUGAUGAUCUAUACAUUCAAAGUAAUUACCAGUACUGCAACCAUGGGAUAAGUGAUAAUAAUUUCUUUAAACCUUAAAUUCAUUAAUACCUUUUUCUCAAAUUAUGAACUUUUCUUUCCCGCCCCAGUCUUGAUGUGCUCCCAACUGAAACCAAAGCUUUAUACACUUCAAAGCACUUCUCCAAAUGCACAUCUAUUAAAGUGUACACACAAAACCAGCCUGAGCAUGGCACAUUAGCUUCUGCCACAACUUUAUUUUUUAAAGGAAAGACUGCAAUGCCUGUUUAAAAACAAAAGGAAACCCAUUUGUGACUUCCAGGCCCUGUGAGGUCUAAUGUGCAAUGUGAAAACCAGCUGGCCUCGCUCUGAAAGGGUUAAAAACAGCAACCAAAAAAUUUAAACUACUUGUAUUUCUCCAGCGGUAAAACCAAAAUAUUGCCAGGUCUUCCUGCAGCCAGGCCACUGGAUAAUUUAGGCUAAAAUAAAUGUUUAUUAAAAAACAGGGCGUUGAUUUCUUGGCAGCGGUGAAAAGCAGGAGACACCCCUAGUGUCGACGUAAAAUACUACAGGACUCCAUACUGUAUCUCCAGGUUAAUUUUCCGGCAGAAAAGAGGAAAUUUAAACCCGUCAUGACUGAAAAACCAGAGCGACUCUGGCACACACUCCCACACCUGGGCACACGGCACUCCGGCAGCCUCAGACCCCGAGCACCCAUCCCGGGCGAGGCUUUCCGCCCCGGCGCAGGCACAGCGCACAUUAUCCCGUCCGCUGGGCUACGUGCAUUACAGCUUUCCGGUCCGCGCACCAACAGCACAGCGCUGCUGCUGCUGCACCGGGGGCGGGGGGAGAACCCCGCGGAGCUGCGAAACAACCCCCGCACGGCAGCGCCGCCCAAAUCGCCGGGGUCUCGUGUGGAGAAGGCUCCGGGCGCCCAUGGUGCCUCCGUGGAGCGGACGAGGCGCAGCACGGGCGACGCGAAUGCCCGGAGCGCGGGGAGGGUCGGGUGGGGGUGAGGUGAGAGGGUGCCGGCGAAGGGAAGGGCCGAGCCCGACAAGCGCUGCCAAGGCGGCGGAGGGAGGAGGCGGAGAGCCAGCGGGGUUCCGUGGGCGGCGGAGGAGAGCGGGGGAUGCGCCCGCCGCCGGGGAGAGCCGGGAAGGAAGCCCACAGAGACGCUCGCCCGCGGGAGGACGUGGACGGCCCGGGGGCGGGAGGAGCCGGGUGAAAGAAAUCGAAGGGAACCUGUCCUUAUUUUUCUGGCAUAUUUGUGAGAGCAUGUAUAAAGUGCCAAGGCUUGGGAGGAAAGAGAGAUGAUACUUCUCAGUUCCAGUAAGGCACAGCUGAAAAAACUGAUCUAAUGAAAGACCAGAAGAAUGCUGUGGGGUACAGAAGCCUUGUGAAGCUGUAGAUCAUAGGGCACUCGUGUCCUCUGUAGACUGUGGUUCAACUCUCCAGUCAAAAUCCUGGUAUGCCUCCUAUGCAAGAGUAGCACAAAAAGGAACCAUACUGGAAUAAAAGAUCUGGGACCCGUUAAUGUUCAGGUUUAAGUAGAUAUGUAGUUUAGAAAGGAUUGUACCCUACAGUUUAUUUUCACUAAUUUAGAAUAAGAAAGGAUUGAGGGAAAUAAAAUCUUAGAGAGCCAAAUGAUUAUUUUAACCCUUCCUCUUGUUAGAAAGUAAUACUUU